UCAUCCAUCAAGUUCUUAGUUUUCAAUCUCCAUCCAUAAAAGGUUAUUCAUGCCUUACUGUGAAUUCAUGGGAAGGGGAAUUCAGUCUUGGAGGCAGAAAGUACAAACCCCAAGCUUCAAAAUUGAAGAGGCCAUACUUUGAAGUGCAACCAUUAUGUUCCGUCAACUUUCCCGGAAAGCAUUCCCCUACCAUGUGUCAUUUACUGCCAUGGAAAUAGUUUGUCAGAAAAUGCAUAUAUUCUUGUGGCAGAGGUAUUGAAGAAAAUGCAUAUAUUUUGUAGGCAUUAAGCUCCCUUGUUGCUUCACUACUUGAGAAAGAAAAGGAUCUUCAACUUCUCUCUGACUGGUCCAAUUCCUCCUGCUUUGGGUAAUUUGACCAUGCUUAAAAUUUUACAUUUUUUUUAUAAAUCAGAACUCCAGGUAUGCAUAUCCUUUAUCUUUCUUGUAUGUAGUUACAUGUCGAAUUUCUUCAUUCUUUGCUUCUUAAUCCCGCAGAUGUUGAUAAAGUAAAGAAAGAUAAUUC